rnacentral:rRNA from 1 species
AUCUCAAAUCAGGUAGGACUACCCGCUGAACUUAAGCAUAUCA